rnacentral:rRNA from 1 species
AUUGAACGCUGGCGGCAGGCCUAACACAUGCAAGUCGAGCGGAGCGGCGGAGGGGAGAGUAAUGCCUAGGAAUCUGCCUGGUAGUGGGGGAUAACGUCCGGAAACGGGCGCUAAUACCGCAUACUUUCAGAUGAGCCUAGGUCGGAUUGGCUAGUUGGUGGGGUAAAGGCCUACCAAGGCGAUGAUCCGUAACUGGGCUGAGAGGAUGAUCAGUCACGCUGGAUCUGAGACACGGUCCAGCCCCCUGCGAGAGGGAGCAGUGGGGAAUAUUGGACAAUGGGCGCAGUGCGGAACCAUCCACGCCGCGUGUGUGAAGAAGGUCUUCGGAUUGUGAAACACUUUAAGUUUUGAGGCGGUACCAACAGAAUAAGCACCGGCUAACUUCGUGCCAGCAGCCGCGGUAAUUC